UGCCAGCAGCCGCGGUAAUACGGAGGGUUCAAGCGUUUUCCGGAUUUAUUGGGUUUAAAGAGUGCGUAGGUGGUUUAUUAAGUCAGUGGUGAAAUCCUGCAGCUCAACUGUAGAACUGCCAUUGAUACUGGUAAACUUGAGUUUGGUUUAGGUAAGUGGAAUUUAUGAUGUAGCGGUGAAAUGCAUAGAUAUCAUAAGGAACACCAAUAGCGAAGGCAGCUUACUGGACCAUAACUGACACUGAGGCACGAAAGCGUGGGUAGCGAACAGGAUUAGAUA
rnacentral:rRNA from 1 species